rnacentral:rRNA from 1 species
CCUACGGGUGGCAGCAGUGGGGAAUAUUGCACAAUGGGGGAAACCCUGAUGCAGCGACGUCGCGUGAGUGAAGAAGGAAUUCGGUAUGGAAAGCUCUAUCAGCAGGGAAGAAAAUGACGGUACCUGAGCAUGAAGCCACGUCUAACUACGUGCCAGAAGCCGCGGUAAUACGCAGGGGGCAAGCGUUAUCCGGAUUUACUGGGUGUAAAGGGAGCGUAGACGGCAGGGCAAGUCUGUAGUGAAAGUCGGGGGCUCAACCCCCGGACUGCCAUUGAAACUGUACGGCUGGAGUGCAGGAGAGGUAGGUGGAAUUCGUAGUGUAGCGGUGAAAUGCGUAGAUAUUACGAAGAACACCGAUGGCGAAGGCAGCCUACUGGACUGUAACUGACGUUGAGGCUCGAAAGCGUGGGGAGCAAACGGGAUUAGAUACCCGAGUAGUC